GUCAACGAUCAAUACCAUGUUGAAAAACCAGUUCUCCGUCGACCACGUGGAAGUUAAGCAACAUCGGGCGCGAUUAGUACUUAGAUGGGUGACCGCUUGGGAACGUCGCGUGUCGUUGGCC
rnacentral:rRNA from 1 species